CCGGCUGUUCCGUCAGCCGUAACCUACCGGUGCAUGCGGGAUUGGUAACGAUCCGGUGUGAAGCCACUGGGACAACGUAACCCGCUCAUUGAGCGACGGCAAUCUCGCGAGAGAAUGUUGUUGUCUGCCAGCGCCGCGGCGGAUGGGGUG
rnacentral:ncRNA from 2 species